GUCCCUUCGGGAGCAUUUGAUAAAAUUAGAAAGAUACAAAGAAGAUUAGUGUGACCUCUAUGCAAGGAAGGAUGAUACCAAUAGAUUGAGAAAUAGCUUAU